rnacentral:rRNA from 1 species
UGAAACCGUGUGCUUACAAGUAGUCAGAGCCCGUUAAUGGGUGAUGGCGUGCCUUUUGUAGAAUGAACCGGCGAGUUACGAUUUGAUGCAAGGUUAAGCAGUAAAUGUGGAGCCGUAGCGAAAGCGAGUCUGAAUAGGGCGUUUAGUAUUUGGUCGUAGACCCGAAACCAGGUGAUCUACCCUUGGUCAGGUUGAAGUUCAGGUAACACUGAAUGGAGGACCGAACCGACUUACGUUGAAAAGUGAGCGGAUGAACUGAGGGUAGCGGAGAAAUUCCAAUCGAACCUGGAGAUAGCUGGUUCUCUCCGAAAUAGCUUUAGGGCUAGCCUCAAGUGAUGAUUAUUGGAGGUAGAGCACUGUUUGGACGAGGGGCCCCUCUCGGGUUACCGAAUUCAGACAAACUCCGAAUGCCAAUUAAUUUAACUUGGGAGUCAGAACAUGGGUGAUAAGGUCCGUGUUCGAAAGGGAAACAGCCCAGACCACCAGCUAAGGUCCCAAAAUAUAUGUUAAGUGGAAAAGGAUGUGGCGUUGCCCAGACAACUAGGAUGUUGGCUUAGAAGCAGCCAUCAUUUAAAGAGUGCGUAAUAGCUCACUAGUCGAGUGACACUGCGCCGAAAAUGUACCGGGGCUAAACAUAUUACCGAAGCUGUGGAUUGUCCUUUGGACAAUGGUAGGAGAGCGUUCUAAGGGCGUUGAAGCAUGAUCGUAAGGACAUGUGGAGCGCUUAGAAGUGAGAAUGCCGGUGUGAGUAGCGAAAGACGGGUGAGAAUCCCGUCCACCGAUUGACUAAGGUUUCCAGAGGAAGGCUCGUCCGCUCUGGGUUAGUCGGGUCCUAAGCUGAGGCCGACAGGCGUAGGCGAUGGAUAACAGGUUGAUAUUCCUGUACCACCUAUAAUCGUUUUAAUCGAUGGGGGGACGCAGUAGGAUAGGCGAAGCGUGCGAUUGGAUUGCACGUCUAAGCAGUAAGGCUGAGUAUUAGGCAAAUCCGGUACUCGUUAAGGCUGA